rnacentral:rRNA from 1 species
GACGAACGCUGGCGGCGUGCUUAACACAUGCCAGUCGAACGGAAAGGCCCUGCUUUUGUGGGGUGCUCGAGUGGCGAACGGGUGAGUAACACGUGAGUAACCUGCCCUUGACUUUGGGAUAACUUCAGGAAACUGGGGCUAAUACCGGAUAGGAGCUCCUGCUGCAUGGUGGGGGUUGGAAAGUUUCGGCGGUUGGGGAUGGACUCGCGGCUUAUCAGCUUGUUGGUGGGGUAGUGGCUUACCAAGGCUUUGACGGGUAGCCGGCCUGAGAGGGUGACCGGCCACAUUGGGACUGGGAUACGGCCCAGACUCCUACGGGAGGCAGCAGUGGGGAAUAUUGCGCAAUGGGCGGAAGCCUGAUGCAGCAACGCCGCGUGCGGGAUGACGGCCUUCGGGUUGUAAACCGCUUUCGCCUGUGACGAAGCGUGAGUGACGGUAAUGGGUAAAGAAGCACCGGCUAACUACGUG